GGCAGUUCUCAAGUGAUGCACCCCUAAAUCCGGCUCCCUCCUCUCUAGUUCCGGGGUGCGGCACCCAAGAACCGCU
rfam:Myotis lucifugus cont2.11298, whole genome shotgun sequence.